AUUUUUACCAGUUGCUGGGUUUCUUGAGGCUGAGUCGUCCACAAACAGUUCCAGAUCGGCAUUUUCUCAAGUUUUGUUCAGAGACUUGAUCUCAGUUUUCUGCUCUCUGGUUGGAGGAUCAGAAGGACACAGAGACCUCCAUCAUGGCUAUCGCUGACCAGCUGCUGGAGCUGAUGUUCUCCUGGAUUGAGCAGAGGGAAUUUUAAAAAAAUUAAAUAUUUGUUUGAUAAAGGAGCCAAACAUCUGAUCAAACAAAUGUCCAAAACUGGAUUUAAAGGAGGAGACAUGGUGACCUGAUGAAGCUCAGGUGUUCCUGGACCCAUCAGAGGACAGAGACAGCUGCAGCAUCAGGACAGUCUGGGUAUCCAAAGGAAGACUGAUGAAGAUGAACACUGACUGCAGAGCUCCAUUACCAGCUCACACUUCAAUAUACUAGAAACCAUAAACCUUGAUGGAGGACAUGAUCUGCACAGUUUACAUAAAAGUUCUAGCUUUGUUACUUACAACAUGUGUAACUGGAAUAUGAAUGAAAUAUAAAUAAAGUUUUUUACUUUUAAGAA